AUGACUUAUUGUUCUGGUAGGGUUAGGGCUAGGGUUAGGGUUAGGGUCAGGGUGAUAGAUAGCAUUGAAAUUGAAAUGCCUGUGUCUUCCAGUGUGUGGUGGAAAGUUAGUAUUAGCCUAAGUUCGUGGGGAGGGGGAGGGAUAAUGUCACAUGUCAAGCACCUGGGUAUUGUGAUUUGGUCCUGCGCCUUAGGGUUAGGGUUAGGGUUAGGAGUAGGUUCAGGUUUAGGGUUCCAAUUCAUGUACCUGACGUUUGGAGUGUGGGUAUGAUUGUUAGGGUUAGGGUUCUUCUUUUCGUAAGGGUCAUGGAUAGUGCAGAAAUAGCGGUCAUUGAGGAUGACUUAUUGUUCUGGUAGGGUUAGGGCUAGGGUUAGGGUUAGGGUCAGGGUGAUAGAUAGCAUUGAAAUUGAAAUGCCUGUGUCUUCCAGUGUGGGUUGGAAAGUUAGUAUUAGCGUAAGUUCGUGGGGAGGGGGAGGGAUAAUGUCACAUGUCAAGCACCUGGGUAUUGUGAUUUGGUCCUGCGCCUUAGGGUUAGGGUUAGGGUUAGGAGCAGGUUGAGGUUUAGGGUUCCAAUUCAUGUACCUGACGUUUGGAGUGUGGGUAUGAUUGUUAGGGUUAGGGUGCUUCUUUUCGUAAGGGUCAUGGAUAGUGCAGAAAUAGCGGUACUUGAGGAUGACUUAUUGUUCUGGUAGGGUUAGGGCUAGGGUUAGGGUUAGGGUCAGGGUGAUAGAUAGCAUUGAAAUUGAAAUGCCUGUGUCUUCCAGUGUGGGUUGGAAACUUAGUAUUAGCAUGAUUUCAUGGGGACGGGGAGGGAUAAUGUCACAUGUCAAGCACCUGGGGAGUUUGAUUUGGUCCUGAGGCUUAGGGUUAGGGUUAGGGUUAGGAGUAGGUUGAGGUUUAGGGUUCCAAUUCAUGUACCUGACGUUUGGAGUGUGGGUAUGAUUGUUAGGGUUAGGGUUCUUCUUUUCGUAAGGGUCAUGGAUAGUG
rnacentral:lncRNA from 1 species